rnacentral:rRNA from 1 species
AGCGAACGCUGGCGGCAGGCCUAACACAUGCAAGUCGAACGAACCUUCCGGGGUUUUUGGCGGAUGGGUGAGGAACACGUGGGAACGUGCCCUUAGGUUCGGAAUAACUCAGGGAAACGUGUGCUAAUACCGAAUGUGCUCUUCGGGGGAACGAUUUAUUGCCUCUAGAGGGGCCCGCGUCUGAUUAGGUAGUUGGGUGAGGUAAUGGCACAUCAAGGCGUCGUUCAGUAGUUGGUCUGAGAGGAUGAUCUGCCACGUUGGAGCUAUGACACGGCCCAAACUCCUACGGAAGGGAGGAGUGGGGGAUCUUGCGCAAUGGACGAAGGCCUGACGCAGCCAUGCCGGGUAAAUGAUGAAGGUCUUAGGAAUGUAAAAUUCUUUCACCGGGGACGAUAAUGACGGUACCCGGAGAAGAAGCCCCGGCUAACUUCGUG